rnacentral:rRNA from 1 species
UACGUAGGGUGCAAGCGUUGUCCGGAAUUAUUGGGCGUAAAGAGCUCGUAGGCGGCCUGUCGCGUCGGCUGUGAAAACCCGAGGCUCAACCUCGGGCCUGCAGUCGAUACGGGCAGGCUAGAGUUCGGUAGGGGAGACUGGAAUUCCUGGUGUAGCGGUGAAAUGCGCAGAUAUCAGGAGGAACACUGGUGGCGAAGGCGGGUCUCUGGGCCGAAACUGACGCUGAGGAGCGAAAGCGUGGGGAGCGAACAGG